rnacentral:rRNA from 1 species
UACAGAGGGGGCAAGCGUUAUUCGGAAUUAUUGGGCGUAAAGGGUGUGUAGGUGGCGCGCUAAGUCGGGUGUGAAAUUUCGGAGCUUAACUCCGAAACUGCAUUCGAUACUGGCGUGCUUGAGGACUGGAGAGGAGACUGGAAUUUACGGUGUAGCAGUGAAAUGCGUAGAUAUCGUAAGGAAGACCAGUGGCGAAGGCGGGUCUCUGGACAGUUCCUGACACUGAGACACGAAGGCCAGGGGAGCAAACGGG